rnacentral:rRNA from 1 species
UAGUCCACGCCGUAAACGAUGUUAACUGGGUUUUUGGGAUUUACUUCCAAGAGCCUGAGGGAAACCAUUAAGUUAACCACCUGGGGAGUACGUUCGCAAGUAUGAAACUCAAAGGAAUUGACGGGGGCCCGCACAAGCGGAGGAACAUGUGGUUUAAUUCGAUGAUACGCGAGGAACCUUACCCGGGCUUAAAUGUAGGUUGCAUAAACUAGAGAUAGUUUUUUCUUCACAGACUACCUACAAGGUGCUGCAUGGUUGUCGUCAGCUCGUGCCGUGAGGUGUCGGGUUAAGUCCCAUAACGAGCGCAACCCCUGCCACUAGUUACCAGCAUGUCAUGAUGGGGACUCUAGUGGGACUGCCAUCGUAAGAUGAGAGGAAGGUGGGGAUGACGUCAAAUCAGCACGGCCUUACGUCCGGGGGCCACACACGUGUUACAAUGGGCCGGUACAGGAGGGGCAGCUACAUAGCGAUAUGAUGCUAA